GUGGGGAAUCUUGCACAAUGGGCGAAAGCCUGAUGCAGCCAUGCCGCGUGAAUGAUGAAGGCCUGAGGGUUGUAAAAUUCUUUCGUCAGGGAUGAUAAUGACCGUACCUGAAGAAGAAGCCCCGGCUAACUUCGUGCCAGCAGCCGCGGUAAUACGAAGUGGGCUAGCGUUGUUCGGAAUUACUGGGCGUAAAGCGCACGUAGGCGGACUUUUAAGUCAGGUGUGAAAUGCCGGGGCUCAACCUCGGAACUGCCUUUGAAACUGGAAAUCUUGAGAUCAGGAGAGGUUAGCGGAAUACCGAGUGUAGAGGUGAAAUUCGUAGAUAUUCGGUGGAACACCAGUGGCGAAGGCGGCUAACUGGACUGAUACUGACGCUGAGGUGCGAAAGUGUGGGGAGCAAACAGGAUUAGAUACCCCGGUAGUCC
rnacentral:rRNA from 1 species